UACGUAGGGGGCGAGCGUUGUCCGGAUUUAUUGGGCGUAAAGCGUGCGCAGGCGGUUAUGUAAGACAGUUGUGAAAUCCCCGGGCUCAACCUGGGAACUGCAUCUGUGACUGCAUAGCUAGAGUACGGUAGAGGGGGAUGGAAUUCCGCGUGUAGCAGUGAAAUGCGUAGAUAUGCGGAGGAACACCGAUGGCGAAGGCAAUCCCCUGGGCCUGCACUGACGCUCAUGCACGAAAGCGUGGGGAGCAAACAGG
rnacentral:rRNA from 1 species